GAGUUUGAUCCUGGCUCAGAGUGAACGCUGGCGGAGUGCUUAAUACAUGCAAGUCGUGCGAGAAAGAAUCUUCGGAAUUGAGUAGAGCGGCGAACGGGUGAGUAACACGUAGAUAACCUGCCCUUAAGUUUGGGACAACCAUGCUAACGCGUGGCUAAUACCGGAUGUGAUUUGAAUUUCUCCUGAUUUUCAAAUUAAAGGUCCUUCGGGAUCGCUUAAGGAUGGAUUUGCGCACUAUUAGUUUUGUUGGUGAGGUAAUGGCUCACCAAGACGAUGAUAGUUAGCCGACCUGAGAGGGUGAUCGGCCACAUUGGGACUGAGACACGGCCCAGACUCCUACGGGAGGCAGCAGUAGGGAAUAUUGCGCAAUGGACGAAAGUCUGACGCAGCAACUCCGCGUGGAGGAUGACGGUUUUCGGAUUGUAAACUCCUUUUAUUUGGGAAGAACGUGUAGUGUAGGUAAUGACAUUGCAGUGACGGUACCAUUUGAAUAAGCAACGGCUAAAUACGUGCCAGCAGCCGCGGUAAUACGUAUGUUGCAAGCGUUACUCGGAAUCACUGGGCGUAAAGAGUUCGUAGGCGGACUAUCAAGUCAGAGGUGAAAUUUUGGGGCUUAACCCCGAAACGGCCUUUGAAACUGUUAGUCUUGAGUAUGUUAGAGGAAGAUGGAAUUCCUGGUGUAGCGGUGGAAUGCGUAGAUAUCAGGAAGAACACCGGUGGCGAAGGCGGUCUUCUGGCACAAUACUGACGCUGAGGAACGAAAGCGUGGGGAGCGAACAGGAUUAGAUACCCUGGUAGUCCACGCCGUAAACGAUGGACACUAGAUGUUGGAGGACUUGAUCUUUCAGUGUCGUAGCUAAAGUGUUAAGUGUCCCGCCUGGGGAGUACGUCCGCAAGGAUGAAACCCAAAGGAAUUGACGGGGGCCCGCACAAGCGGUGGAGCAUGUGCUUUAAUUCGAUGCAACGCGAAGAACCUUACCUGGUCUUGACAUACCAUUGACCGCAGCAGAGAUGUUGUUUUAUCUUCGGAUACAGUGGGUACAGGUGCUGCAUGGUUGUCGUCAGCUCGUGUCGUGAGAUGUUGGGUUAAGUCCCGCAACGAGCGCAACCCUUGUCCUUAGUUGCUAGCAGGUAAUGCUGAGAACUCUAAGGAGACUGCCCACGCAAGUGGGAGGAAGGUGAGGAUGACGUCAAGUCAUCAUGGCCCUUACGACCAGGGCUAGACACGUGCUACAAUGGCCGGUACAAUGGGUUGCUAACUGGUGACAGUGUGCUAAUCUCAAAAAACCGGUCUCAGUUCGGAUCGGAGUCUGCAAUUCGACUCCGUGAAGUUGGAAUCGCUAGUAAUCGUGGAUCAGAAUGCCACGGUGAAUACGUUCCCGGGCCUUGUACACACCGCCCGUCAAGCCACGGAAGUCGGUUGUGCCCGAUAUCGUAUCCUUAACCUUCGGGAUGGGAGCGACUAAGGCAAAGCUGGUAACUGGGGCUAAGUCGUAACAAGGUA
rnacentral:rRNA from 1 species